rnacentral:rRNA from 1 species
UACGAAGGGGGCUAGCGUUGCUCGGAAUCACUGGGCGUAAAGGGUGCGUAGGCGGGUCUUUAAGUCAGGGGUGAAAUCCUGGAGCUCAACUCCAGAACUGCCUUUGAUACUGAGGAUCUUGAGUUCGGGAGAGGUGAGUGGAACUGCGAGUGUAGAGGUGAAAUUCGUAGAUAUUCGCAAGAACACCAGUGGCGAAGGCGGCUCACUGGCCCGAGUACUGACGCUGAGGCACGAAAGCGUGGGGAGCAAACAGGG